rnacentral:rRNA from 1 species
UACGUAGGGGGGCUAGCGUUGUCCGGAAUCAUUGGGCGUAAAGGGCGCGUAGGCGGCCAUUCAAGUCGGGGGUGAAAGCCCAGGGCUCAACCCUGGAAUUGCCUUCGAUACUGUUUGGCUAGAGACCGGAAGAGGUAAGUGGAACUGCGAGUGUAGAGGUGAAAUUCGUAGAUAUUCGCAAGAACACCAGUGGCGAAGGCGGCUUACUGGUCCGGUUCUGACGCUGAGGCGCGAAAGCGUGGGGAGCGAACAGG